rnacentral:misc_RNA from 1 species
AUACGUUUCAUGAUAAAUCCCACGGAAAACGGCGUUUUGAAACGCUGUUUUGAGGCCUCAGGUAAGGUGGUGAUGGCCACGGAAAAGUGGCGUCGUGCGGAAGGUUUUAGCGCCAAAGGCGGGCCUAUGAGAAGGCCCUUCCCUCGUCCGAAAGGCGUAUACCACCCCGUCGGCAGGGGCCGUCAACCGCCGCAUUUCGCAGGCAGUUCUGCAGCGGUUAGUGGCCAAUUCCGCUGUGCGGUACUUCGCUGCUGUAGCGUUCNNNNNNNNGCCACCUUGAUCAGGAUGGUGAUCAGCGCCACGGCCGUCAGCACCGUCGCGGCGGCGAAGG